rnacentral:rRNA from 1 species
AUUGAACGCUGGCGGCAUGCCUUACACAUGCAAGUCGAACGGCAGCACGGGUGCUUGCACCUGGUGGCGAGUGGCGAACGGGUGAGUAAUACAUCGGAACAUGUCCUGUAGUGGGGGAUAGCCCGGCGAAAGCCGGAUUAAUACCGCAUACGAUCUACGGAUGAAAGCGGGGGACCUUCGGGCCUCGCGCUAUAGGGUUGGCCGAUGGCUGAUUAGCUAGUUGGUGGGGUAAAGGCCUACCAAGGCGACGAUCAGUAGCUGGUCUGAGAGGACGACCAGCCACACUGGGACUGAGACACGGCCCAGACUCCUACGGGAGGCAGCAGUGGGGGAUUUUGGACAAUGGGCGAAAGCCUGAUCCAGCAAUGCCGCGUGUGUGAAGAAGGCCUUCGGGUUGUAAAGCACUUUUGUCCGGAAAGAAAUCCUUGGCUCUAAUACAGUCGGGGGAUGACGGUACCGGAAGAAUAAGCACCGGCUAACUACGUG